rnacentral:lncRNA from 1 species
CCCGCCGACUCAAAUUCUUUUUUUGACGUUUUUUAGAAGAAUUUUUUUUUUUUGCGGAUUUUUUUCGUGUCCGCUCCGUCAUCGUAUAAAACUUAAAGUUUGUCGUCUUUGAGUUUGAAAGUAACUAUGAAUAAGAUUAAAAGAAAGCGCAUAAGAGAUGCAGUUAAUCGAUAUUCGAUGUUCUCUGUUUUUAUCUUCUGACUUAACGAACGUAAAGAAGUGAAACAUGUGAAGUGGCACAGUUUUUUUUACGCUGUAGUUGUCUGUACUACCAAACCCUUACCUAUAUGCUCAAUGUUAAUUUCAUCGUGUAAACGAAUAUCUGAUAAGAAUAUUCAGGUAGAUUUGUUCAAAACCAUGUGCAAUCGAAUAUUUUCAAUGUUAUUCUGACAGGAAAUGGAUCCGGAAG